AACGUAGGUGGCAAGCGUUGUCCGGAUUUACUGGGUGUAAAGGGAGCGCAGGCGGACAUGCAAGUCAAAUGUGAAAUGCAGAGGCUCAACCUCUGAACUGCGUUUGAUACUGUAGGUCUUGAGUGGAGUAGGGGCAGGCGGAAUUCCCGGUGUAGCGGUGGAAUGCGUAGAUAUCGGGAGGAAUACCAGUAGCGAAGGCGGCCUGCUGGGCUCUAACUGACGCUGAGGCUCGAAAGCGUGGGGAGCAAAC
rnacentral:rRNA from 1 species